rnacentral:rRNA from 1 species
UACGUAGGGCGCGAGCGUUGUCCGGAAUUAUUGGGCGUAAAGAGCUCGUAGGUGGCUUGUCGCGUCUGCUGUGAGAGCCCGUGGCUUAACUCCGGGUCUGCGGUGGAUACGGGCAGGCUAGAGGCUGGUAGGGGCAAGCGGAAUUCCUGGUGUAGCGGUGAAAUGCGCAGAUAUCAGGAGGAACACCGGUGGCGAAGGCGGCUUGCUGGGCCAGUUCUGACGCUGAGGAGCGAAAGCGUGGGGAGCGAACAGG